ensembl:lncRNA
UGGGCAUGAUAUUUCACAGCAGCGGUGGAGGAAAGAAAGCCAUAAUGUUUUGGAAACACGUGAGGUGUGGAUGAGAGAUGCUGCUGCUGUAAUGUGAAGGUGACUGACUGUACGCUUGAUUCAUCGCUGAUGGAGAGAUACUGUUAUUCCAAGGCUGGAUAAUAAAACACAGAAUGCACAACCUGGAGAUCGUUCAACUCUUUUCUACACACACCGACAAACACAACACUGGGUUCAAAGUGUAGUCAGACUCUCUCUCACAAUUAUUCAGAUCAUCUGAAGACUCUGACAUUCACUUAUUAUUUACCACAUCAACAGCACUUCACACCGAUGAGAUGAUACACUAUAGAUGAAUCACUUUCAUCGUCACAUUCACCACAAGCUGAAGAAGAUCUCACGGCUUCCGUCUUAUAUAAGGUGGUUUGGGACGAAAAUGUCACAGAAUCAAGAAGCAACUGUCAAAAACACUUCAAAGUCUUCUGGUUAACUGUGAGCUAUUUAAAGCAGCGACAUUCAGCGAAUGAGAACGACACCGAGAUGGACAAGUGUGAUUUUCAAGAACAUUUGCAAAAACAAACUUGUUCCAGUGAAGUCAAGAGCACAUUAAAUCUAAUUACUCAGAAAAAAAAAAAA